ensembl:lncRNA
CCCACAAGUGAGUCUGGAAGAGCUGACUCAUACCGAAAUGUUGGUGCUGCUUUUUAUGGACAAUCUUGUAUAAAAGUAAUACAGUCAUCUAAUAAUGUUCCCGGUUCAACAAUGACAUUUCUUCAUGCAGGUAACUGUCCAUAUUUGCACUACUCUGCACCCUUUUAUUUUAUCGAAUCUUCAAAGGAAUUUAUUUUGUCCCUCCAAAUCAUUUAUCUACAAUCAAGCUGUUAGAUUCAACCCCUUUUUGACUGGAGAUUAAUACAAGAGUUCAAUUCAGAUGGAGCUAUCUCCAAGUGACCUGGCUUCAGAAAAACCCAGCCAAUGUGGGGAUUGGAGAUUCCAACCAUAUGCCUCCGUACAGCCAUGUGGUAACCAGUAACAGAACUCUCAGGAUAACUAUUGAUACAGUACUGUAUUUAAAUGUUUGUUAUGUGUAAAAUACUGUACAAUAGGUUUGCUGUACUUGCACAGUUUUGAAAUGUACUUUUUUGGUUUUUUUAUAACUUGAAAGAUAGAUGUGAUUUUUGAGUUUUACCAUUUUUCUUUGGUAAUGUUAGAGUAAUUUUGUGUUGUAAAAAAAUAACAUUUAUUUAGAUCUUUCUUUGUUCUUUUUAGUAUAGUUUUAAUUGUAACAUAUCAUUCAAAUCAAGCAUUACAGAUGGAUAGUUAUAACAGUUUCACCACACCAGUCAUUUUCAUGCAACGAGCUAAGAAUCAAUCAUUGUGCUUUCUGUGUCAGUGGGUUGAGAUACCCAGCUCCUUUCUGGUUGUCAAUAUGCAUAUGGUGCUAUACCGUUGAACUCUUCCUGCAUUUUUUGUUUGUGAAUAGGGUCUGAUUACAGCUGUGGCCUGGUUCUUCCAUACCUUUUGAACUUCCUUUUUAAGCAAUUGAGCUCAUGCCAAUUAGGCCUUUCUUUCUCUAGCCAACCAAUCCACUUAGCUAUAGCAAACUUUCAUGGCAGAAGGGUGUGUACCCACUGAAAUCCUAUGUCUUGAGAUUAACCACAUUUAUGUUGGAUUUCAAUACACUAUCGAGUCAGUUUCAUGUGAGUGAACAAUGGCAUGGACAGUGUUUAGUUUAUUUGUUCACAGGCGUUGCUUUAUGGAACUGAAUCAAUAGUUAAUUUUCUGAGUCCAACCAUUAUUCCCCCCGUUCGGUGACUCUUGUGUAAGGGGUCAGUUAGUGUUAGGAGUUGACAGUGCUUGCCCUGCUAUUCCCUACCGCAAACUCGAAAGAGCCAUAGGCAUUUCUAUGUUGUCCAGUCCAGAAUUUGCCUCCACAGCUGUAAUCGGAUGACAUCGGGCAUUUUGUCACUAUUUGCUGGUUUGUUAUUGGGGUUUCGGGGUAUAGGGGUGGUUGAGCUUAACUGUGAAAUUCACAUUGCACAUACUUUUGAGAAUAAAACCAUGAGAACAAAGAAC